CAGCACAUCCAUGUCACCCUGCAGCCCAAGACCGGUUACUCACUGAAGCUAAGCAGGGCUGAGCCUGGUCAGUACGUGGAUGGGAGACCACUAGGGAACACUAGGUUGCUGU
rnacentral:rRNA from 1 species